GAGGGUGUAGCUCAGUGGUAGAACACAUGCUUCUCAUGGAAAAGGUGCCAGGGUCAAUACCUGGCAUCUUCA